rnacentral:rRNA from 2 species
GAUUUCUGGUACGGCGCACUUGGCCCGCUUCGGUUACGAGGUAGAGUGCCGGUGUGCGCCUGCCAUACAUCUAGUGUACGUCUCUACUCUUCACUGGGUCAGGGUCGGAAUCUAGAUCAUUUACUUUGAAAAAAUUAGAGUGUUUAAAGCAGGCUUACGCUAUGAAUACAUUAGCAUGGAAUAAUAAUUUAGGACUUUGGUCUUAUUUUGUUGGUUUCUAGGACUAAAGUAAUGAUUGAUAGGGAUAGUUGGGGGUGCUAGUAUUCAGCGGCCAGAGGUGAAAUUCUUGGAUUCGCUGAAGACUAACUUAUGCGAAAGCAUU